CCGGGUUGCGGACAGUGUCUGGUGGGUAGUUUGACUGGGGCGGUCUCCUCCCAAAGAGUAACGGAGGAGCACGAAGGUUGGCUAAUCCUGGUCGGACAUCAGGAGGUUAGUGCAAUGGCAUAAGCCAGCUUGACUGCGAGCGUGACGGCGCGAGCAGGUGCGAAAGCAGGUCAUAGUGAUCCGGUGGUUCUGAAUGGAAGGGCCAUCGCUCAACGGAUAAAAGGUACUCCGGGGAUAACAGGCUGAUACCGCCCAAGAGUUCAUAUCGACGGCGGUGUUUGGCACCUCGAUGUCGGCUCAUCACAUCCUGGGGCUGAAGUAGGUCCCAAGGGUAUGGCUGUUCGCCAUUUAAAGUGGUACGCGAGCUGGGUUUAGAACGUCGUGAGACAGUUCGGUCCCUAUCUGCCGUGGGCGCUGGAGAAUUGAGGGGGGCUGCUCCUAGUACGAGAGGACCGGAGUGGACGCAUCACUGGUGUUCGGGUUGUCAUGCCAAUGGCACUGCCCGGUAGCUAAAUGCGGAAGAGAUAAGUGCUGAAAGCAUCUAAGCACGAAACUUGCCCCGAGAUGAGUUCUCCCUGAGACCUUGAGUCUCCUGAAGGAACGUUGAAGACGACGACGUUGAUAGGUCGGGUGUGUAAGCGCAGCGAUGCGUUGAGCUAACCGAUACUAAUGAACCGUGAGGCUUAACCUUACAACGCCGAAGGUGUUU
rnacentral:rRNA from 2 species